UGAUUGCAGGAUGAGUCAGUUCAAUCAAAAAACUAUGAUUACAACACCAGAUGUACCCCAUCAAAAUUUUUUGAUUUUAUCAAUGAAAUUAAUUUAAAAGAUGAACAUAAAAAAAUAAUUUCAACCACUCCUUUUAAGGAAUUUUUGCGUUUUCCAAGGUUAGUAGUUCAACGCACAUUUUUAAAUACUAUUAUACGUAGAUGGGAUAACGAAACUAAAAGUUUCAUCAUUGGAGGAAAUAUGCUAUUUAUUAAAUCCCAAGACAUUGCUUUGAUAUUGAGGUUGAGUAUGAAUGGAGAGUCUUUAGAUAUGAAGAAGAAACUAGAUGUUUGCGAUGAAAAUUUUAAAAACAAAUAUUUUUCAAAUGCUCUUAUAUUGAGGAAUUUGAUUGAGGAGACUAUUAAGAUGUGGAUGGAAGAAACUUAGAUGAAUGUUUAGCUGACUUUACUAAACUCUUUAUUUUGUAUAUAUUUAAUACAAUUUUAUUUCCAACUUCAAAUCAUGCCACACCAAAAUUCUUGUUGCACUAUAUGAAUAAGCUGGAAAAAUUAAAUAGUUAUGAUUGAGUUACUGCUGUUUAUGAGUUCUUGGUUAAAAGUAUUUCUAAAUGUGUGGAGGAGAAGAAGAGCUAUGUGAAUGGAUGUGUCAUAAUGCUAGAACCAUGGUUACAAGAGCACAUCAUUCAUCAGGCAAUGUUAACAACAAAAAUGGUAUAUCCACGUUUAUUGAGAUGGGUAGAAGGUGGUUACCAACAUGCUGACACACAUAGGAAAUAUAUUGAUAAUCUCAUCUACACUCAGGUUAUUGAAGAAAUAAAGCUUACGUAUGAGAGAGAAAUCUACUAUCUCCUCCUAUAAGUGAUUCGCGUUUCUUUUUUGUACUUGAUAUGCAAUCAAUAGUGAUCACACAUUAAAAAAUAUUUGUAUUUUUAAUUGGCAUACAGGAUACAUCAAACACUGCAGAAGAAAUGUGCCAUCAUUUGGAAUCUAAAUUGGUCAACAUGUUAGAGAAAAUUGUAACUGUUCCCCACUUAACAAAUAUUUUAUAUAUGCGUAUAUUUUUUUAAUCAUGUUAUCAUGUGAUACUAAUUUCUUAUUAUCUUUAUUGUGAUUUGCAUAUAGGCAUCAAAUAUCACCCAAGAAACAUGUAGUCAUUUGGAGCUUAUAUUUUUACAAAUUAAAGACAAAAAUGUAAUUAUUCUGAAUACAACAAUUAUUUAAAAUUUGUGUAUAUUUUAUAGAUCACAAUGCGUUAGAAUGCUAAUUCCAUUUCAUUGAUUCUUGUGAUUUUUAUACAGGAGAUAUCAAGUGCAGUCAACGAAAUGUGCAAACAAUUUGAACUUAAAUUUUUGAACAUUAUAGAGAAUUUAAUGAUACAAAAUAAGAAAAAUGAAGACAAUAGUGAGUACAUAGAAUUACUGAUGGAAAAUAAAGAGUUAAGAGAUAAGAUACUUGAUAAAGAAAUAAUCAUACAACGGUUGUCUAAUGAAGUGAAAGAGUUAAAGAGAAACCGCGAUUGGGAAGCUACAUCAUGUGAGAUAAUUAAGGACAUGCAAGAAAAUUCUAACAUACCAUAAGUUUCUACUCCCUUUCAUGCGAAUACGAAGAUAAAAGAGACUUUUGUUACAAAUCAAAACUUUUUAGUGAAGCGUGUCAAAGAGCAGGGUAGGAAGAGGAUUCCUUCAAAAGUCUUACAAUCUCUAUACACUGAAUGUAAAACUAAAGGUAAAAGUAUAUGUGAAACUCUUGGAAUCCAAUCACGUAUGGAAAAGAGUGAUGAGUAUAUGUUAUCCCAAGAAGAGGUGAAUGCAAUUAUGACUCUUAAAUCUCAGAAUAAAAUCAAGGAUGAAACAUUUGGCCCACUUCGUGUCGAAAGGAGAUCCUUAGAGUCUUUAUUGAAUCCAAUGAAAUGGGUAGAUGAUGAGGUUAUAUCCAAGUAUACCGAAUUGAUGGCUAUUUGAGAAAAUAGUGGUGGGCAUGAUUUGUUAAAAUGUCACUUCUUCAACGCAUGGUUUUAUAAAUAUGUGUGUACAACGAGAAUUAUAGCGAAAGGAGACAGGAAAAUUGAAGAUAUAUAUUAUGAUGGUAGUGAUGAAAAAAUUGAAUGUAUUAUAAGGAAGAUUCCUUACGAGCUAAAGAAUAAAGAAAAAAAUUAUGAUCCCACUGAAUGAAAUGUUCCAUUGGUACUUGCUUGUCAUUGACUUAAAGAGAAAAAUAUUUUCAAUUUACAACUCUCUCAAAGGUCACCAAACAUCAACCUACAUCAAUACGAUGGUUUCACAUUUGGAGAUCCAUUUAUUAAAAACUUGUGAAAUAGAAUGUGAUGGAUUUACUGUCUCUAUAGACCAAGAAUGCCCCCAGCAACCAAAUUCGUUUGACUGUGGUGUCUACUUAAUGAAAUUUAUGGAAUGUCUUUCCCGAGGAGAUAUAUUUGAUUUCAACUCAGGGCUGAUGAAUUUUGAACGAAAAAAGUUGGUUGCACAACUGAUGCUGGGCAAAAUGAUUACACUACAGUAAUGUGAAAUGUAAAGGCUUGUCGGUUGAUGACAAUUCGCAAGAGUAUAACGGCUAUAUGGAGCUCUUUCUGCUCAUAUGUGGUCGGGGAUGAUCUUCUCAGGAGUUUUUUUAUUUUCUUAUUUUUUUAAAGGUCCAAUAAAUGCAAUUGUUGCAUGGUAGCCUGUUAAAAGUAACAGUUUAGAUUGUUCAAUUGGAGCAUCCAAGUUAUGGAUUGGAUCAUCCUAUCAAUACAGGCUUCUAUUUUUUUCUUUUUUCUUUUUUGUGUGGUGGCCUGUUAAAUAUUUUGUGUGGGAUUAAAAUAAACAAAUUUGGUUUGUAAGGUCAGACCCACUUAUAUUAAUUAGUUAUCUACCAGGCAGGCUUGAAAUAUCAACUUUGGAUAAUUCAGGCUCAUAUUAUAACUGCAGAACUGUGCACAGG